rnacentral:rRNA from 1 species
CCUACGGGCGGCAGCAGUGGGGAAUAUUGGACAAUGGGCGAAAGCCUGAUCCAGCAAUGCCGCGUGUGUGAAGAAGGUCUUCGGAUUGUAAAGCACUUUCGACGGGGACGAUAAUGACGGUACCCGUAAAAGAAGCCCCGGCUAACUUCGUGCCAGCAGCCGCGGUAAUACGAAGGGGGCUAGCGUUGCUCGGAAUGACUGGGCGUAAAGGGCGCGUAGGCGGUUUAUGCAGUCAGAUGUGAAAUCCCCGGGCUUAACCUGGGAACUGCAUUUGAGACGCAUAGACUAGAGGUCGAGAGAGGGUUGUGGAAUUCCCAGUGUAGAGGUGAAAUUCGUAGAUAUUGGGAAGAACACCGGUGGCGAAGGCGGCAACCUGGCUCGAUACUGACGCUGAGGCGCGAAAGCGUGGGGAGCAAACAGGAUUAGAUACCCGCGUAGUC